UGUAUGUAGCUCAGUGGUAGAGCACUUGCCUACACUACAUAAAGCCCUGGGUUCAAUCCCCAGCACAACAA
rnacentral:tRNA from 1 species